rfam:Actinobacillus minor NM305 Contig_154, whole genome shotgun sequence.
GUCAAUGAUGGGCUGGUUAAGGAGAUCGAAAGAUCUGCCGUCUUCCUUGUGUAACGGUUACUGCAAACCUUAGCCAGUUCAUCACCAGU